rnacentral:lncRNA from 1 species
UAAAAUCUCAAAUGGAAUACAUAUCUAUCAGUGAGUGCUAUUUUGGAUUGACGACACAUUUUUAAAUAACAUUAUGGUUCCCUAUAAUCACCAACAAUCCACCAGAGCUUGUGAUCUAUGCUAAGCAAAUCAGGAAAAAUGAAAUUAGAAUAUUCAAUUCACUUGUGUCACUUUUCAGUUAGCUAUAAGCAACGAAAUUGCACACAAUUCAGAGGAUAAAAUAAUAAUAAGUAGAUACCAGGUUGCUCAUUUACAUUCAACAAACCAAAUACUUGUUUUUAACAUUCCAACAAUUUCAGAGGUUAAACAAGGAAAUAACUUCAAACAGAUUUAGACUUUAGACAUAUUGAAUAUAGAAUCAGAACAAAUCCAAAACAUAAUAGUUUCAAAACUUAACAGAGAAAGUAAAUCGAAACAAAUCAAUAAUUACACAUAACAAAUCUAUGAAACGGGAAGCACAUAAACAAAUUAAAGUUUUCAUUUAAGAUUCAAACAAACUGAAAAUUACAAGAAAUAUUGCAAGAGUAUAACCUAAACAAAUCCAGCUUCAUUUAUAAUUUAACUAAAGCUAAACAAGGUGGCUAAAUGCACCUCUAGACAGCAGAACAGCAACAAAGAGUAAUCUGCACUUCAAAAGGCAGCUAUGCAACCCAGAAUAUGCCGUGACAGACUUAGAAACCACAAACAACCUUGGAAUCUUCCUUUUGUUUCGUUCUGAGCUUUGCCAAAUUCUAGAUUUUUGAAUUUCAGAAAAAGAGGGCAGAAUUUUCUUUUUGUAUCUAUGUGUGUCCAGGUCUAAGGAGAGGUGAGAGUUGUGUGUAUGAGCCUGGGUGUAGAUGGUAGAGGCGAGAGAUGAGCGCGAUGAGAGAUUGAUUUUUUUUUGAGGCGGCUACUAGGGUUCUCUGUAGAAGAGGGGUCUGUUCUCUUCUUCAU